GACGGUUUUACACUAUCAAAGUUUCUGUGAUCACAGUAGGAAUUUUGCACAGGUAAAUUUUAAGUUUAAGAGGGAAUUGACUUAAUGUUUAACAUCGAGAGUCAGUUCCCUCAAACAUUUCUUACAAAUCUUUCAAAACUUAGAAGUUACCUAUACAAAAUUUCUACUGCGAUCACAGUGUAGACCAGCCUAUAUUCAAAGCAAUUUCGAUAGUAUAAAUCGAACUUUGAUGAAAGAAAAAACGGAGUGUACAUUUUACUGUGACUGCCAAUUUUUAUGCAUUUACUGUUUUCUCGUAAAAUUCAACUGAAUAGCUACAGUCAAACCGAAAAAUACCAAAUGCAUUAAAAGGCCUCGUUAAUAUUCUGUCUAGCCUAACUUGUCCUUUGUUGGCACUGCGACAACGGUUAAAAGUUAUUAAAUUAUUUCAAAAAUGCAAGAUCAUACUGACACAGGCAAUUUCUGAUUUUAU